rnacentral:rRNA from 1 species
UGGGGAAUUUUGGACAAUGGGCGAAAGCCUGAUCCAGCAAUGCCGCGUGUGUGAAGAAGGCCUUCGGGUUGUAAAGCACUUUUGUCCGGAAAGAAAUCCUUGGCUCUAAUACAGUCGGGGGAUGACGGUACCGGAAGAAUAAGCACCGGCUAACUACGUGCCAGCAGCCGCGGUAAUACGUAGGGUGCAAGCGUUAAUCGGAAUUACUGGGCGUAAAGCGUGCGCAGGCGGUUUGCUAAGACCGAUGUGAAAUCCCCGGGCUCAACCUGGGAACUGCAUUGGUGACUGGCAGGCUAGAGUAUGGCAGAGGGGGGUAGAAUUCCACGUGUAGCAGUGAAAUGCGUAGAGAUGUGGAGGAAUACCGAUGGCGAAGGCAGCCCCCUGGGCCAAUACUGACGCUCAUGCACGAAAGCGUGGGGAGCAAAACAGGAUUAGAUACCCUGGUAGUCCACGCCCUAAACGAUGUCAACUAGUUGUUGGGGAUUCAUUUCCUAGUAACGUAGCUAACGCGUGAAGUUGACCGCCUGGGGAGUACGGUCGCAAGAUUAAAACUCAAAGGAAUUGAC